AGAAGGUGACUGACUGCGAGAGAGACAUCUCGAGCAGAGACGAAAGUCGGGCUUAGUGAUCCGGUGGUACCGAGUGGAAGGGCCAUCGCUCAACGGAUAAAAGCUACCUCGGGGAUAACAGGCUUAUCUCCCCCAAGAGUCCACAUCGACGGGGAGGUUUGGCACCUCGAUGUCGGCUCGUCUCAUCCUGGAGCUGAAGCAGGUUCCAAGGGUUGGGCUGUUCGCCCAUUAAAGAGGCACGCGAGCUGGGUUCAGAACGUCGUGAGACAGUUCGGUCCCUAUCCGUCGCGGGCGUAAGAUAUUUGAAAGGAGCUGCUCCUAGUACGAGAGGACCGGAGCGGACGAACCGCUGGUGCACCAGUUGUUCCGCCAGGAGCACAGCUGGGUAGCUAAGUUCGGCAGGGC
rnacentral:rRNA from 1 species